GACGAACGCUGGCGGCGUGCUUAACACAUGCAAGUCGAACGGAAAGGCCCUGCUUUUGUGGGGUGCUCGAGUGGCGAACGGGUGAGUAACACGUGAGUAACCUGCCCUUGUCUUUGGGAUAACUUCAGGAAACUGGGGCUAAUACCGGAUAGGAGCUCCUGCUGCAUGGUGGGGGUUGGAAAGUUUCGGCGGUUGGGGAUGGACUCGCGGCUUAUCGGCUUGUUGGUGGGGUAGUGGCUUACCAAGGCUUUGACGGGUAGCCGGCAUGAGAGGGUGACCGGCCACAUUGGGCCUGCGAGACGGACCAGACUCCUACGGGAGGCAGCAGUGGAGAAUAUUGCACAAUAGGCGGAAGCCUGAUGCGGCAACGCCGCGUGCGGGAUGACGGCCUUCGGGUUGUAAACCGCUUUCGCCUGUGACGAAGCGUGAGUGACGGUAAUGGGUAAGAAAGCACCGGCUAACUACGUG
rnacentral:rRNA from 1 species